AUCAUUAGAGGAUGAUUUUAAAGUUGUUGUAGGGAUCAGUCCAAUCAUCUGGUUCAUUGCUAUCUUGUUCUUGCUUGCCUAUACACAUGGAUGGUAUUCAUAUUUAUGGCUACCUUUUAUCCCCUUAAUUCUGUGGAUUUCUUCAAUCAGGUGAAUCUGCUCUAUGGUACCCUCACUAAGUUUUGUACUCCUGAGAAUUGCCCUACAAUGACUGCAGGACCUAAGUAAGAGAUAUAAACUAGAUUCCUUUUGCCCUUUUCAAUAAAUUAGGCGUACAAUUCCUAAAUAUUAUUGUUUUCCCUCAUGACCUCUGUCGUGUUUGGAUCCAUUGAUGGUAUUGAAACCUUUUCUCUCAAACAAUGCAUGUGUUCAGUCUCUAAGGAUCUAGAUAAAUCAAAACUCCCUCAACUUGAAUUUAGGUUCUUUAUCUAUUUGAGCUAGAUGAUACUGUAUUAAUUUAUUUUUGUUAAAGUUAUAUAUAUCUGCCUUUUUUUUUUUUUUUGAAUUUUGAUGUCAAAAUAUAUCAUAUAAUCUUGGCUGAUUAGUGGGAUAAGAGUUUGACUUUAUAUCAUGUUUUCUUUGAUUUGAUAGUCCUAGGUUAUGAUGACAUGAUGUUUAUUAUUAUUAUGAUUUGCCUUUGUCUUUUGUAAUAAUUUGAUUUUUGCCAUAUUUUAAAUGUCAGUAGAAAGACAUCAAAUAUGUUAAAGCUAAAACUAUUAUAUUAUUGAUAUUUAAAUAUCUUUUGCUUUAAUUAUGAAAUUUUCAAACUUACUAAAUAUGAGAUUCGUAUUGAUAGCUUAGAAUAUUUGUCUUGUAAAGAAGAGUUUAUGUAUUUGUAUUGAUAUUUAAAUAUUUUUCUUGUAAAGCAGUGCUUCGUGUGACAACAAACAUCGCUCGGGAAGGUCUCGUUAUUGGUUCCUAACGUUUUUGCACUUGCAAAGCUUAUGAAUGUCAGUGAAGAUGAGAGUCAACUUUCUGCUAUAGCUAGGCAAGGUUCAGGUAGUGCUUGUCGGAGUUUGUUUGGUGGAUUCGUUAAGUGGAUUAUGGGAAAAGAGGAUGAUGGAAGUGAUAGUCUUGCAGUUCAACUAGUAGAUGAAAAACACUAGGAAGAUCUCUUCAUCAUUAUUGCUGUGGAGAGGUGCAGAGGAUAGAGCUGCAGAG